rnacentral:lncRNA from 1 species
AAAUUCACAUUGCGAUAAGACGUGUCACGGUAAUUGUCUAUCCCAAAUUCAUGUAUUUGGUUUUGAUGUUAUAUAUAUAUGUUAUAUUUGUUAUUCUCGUGGGAUUUUGUCUAUGUGUGUUACAUUUUAGUGUUAUGUCGUUGUUCUCCUCUUAUAUUUGAUGCGUUUCCCUCGGUUUUGGUUUGUUACCCCGAUUUUGUUUUUACUCCAUGGAUUUAUGAGUUUUGAACAGCGGUAUACUACUGUUGCCUUUAUUUAUACAAAUCAUGAACUGUUCUAGUAUCCAACACUAUUUGUGUAAAAUAUUAUAUAAGUUUUUUAUUCGAAGAAAGUUAUUUUCAUAGUAAAUAUAUCUUAACUAGAAUUUUAAACUGUUCUUUAACGCAAAUAUUUUUACCAGUAGAAAAUUU